UUAUCUGUGACCCUGAUUCCAAAUUUAUCUCAAUUUGAAAAAGCAGCAAGUGAUGCACUGUCAGUGUUCAAAGCAUCUUUGGUUUUUCAUGAGCAUUUUACCAGAUCCUGAGAGCAGCUUUUCCAGCUGACAGAUCUUUUUGUGAGCUUUGACUGGGUCGGCACUCACAUUGUGAUGCACGUCUGGAUCUGAACUCUGUGCCCCUGCCCUGUCUCUGCUUGCUGUAAAGAUUCCCAUUUCCAGAAAUGCCUCUUUUCUCAGAGAUCUGCCCAGAGUGAACUGCAAUCUGAAGUCACAAUACUGCCUGAUCAGCGCCAUCCUUUCAGCAUACUGCAUGAGCUGAUUAAAAAAAGACAGGAUGAUGAGCUUAGUCCCUUAACUCAUGCCAAUGAACAGGAAAAGCAACCCAGCCACCACCUGUCUCCAAACCAGGGUAGGCAAGGUCUGAGAUUUAUCUUCCUGGCUGGUUUUUGCACGAGGGAACACCUCAAGGUACGCACUCUGCAGAGGGGUUUGCAAACUGAGUCUCAAUAAGUG
rnacentral:lncRNA from 1 species